rnacentral:rRNA from 1 species
GACGAAGGUGGCGAGCGUUGUUCGGAAUCACUGGGCAUAAAGCGCGCGUAGGCGGUCUGCUAAGUCGGAUGUGAAAGCCCCCGGCCCAACCGGGGAAUGGCGUCCGAUACUGGUGGACUCGAGGAUUGGAGAGGUGUGUGGAAUUCCUGGUGGAGCGGUGAAAUGCGUUGAUAUCAGGAGGAACACCGGAGGCGAAGGCGACACACUGGCCAAUUUCUGACGCUGAGGUGCGAAAGCAUGGGGAGCAAACGGG